UACGAAGGGGGCUAGCGUUGCUCGGAAUCACUGGGCGUAAAGCGCACGUAGGCGGACUCUUAAGUCAGGGGUGAAAUCCUGGAGCUCAACUCCAGAACUGCCUUUGAUACUGGGAGCCUUGAGUUCGGGAGAGGUGGGUGGAACUGCGAGUGUAGAGGUGAAAUUCGUAGAUAUUCGCAAGAACACCAGUGGCGAAGGCGGCUCACUGGCCCGAUACUGACGCUGAGGCACGAAAGCGUGGGGAGCAAACAGG
rnacentral:rRNA from 1 species